rfam:Drosophila persimilis strain MSH-3 cont1.012616, whole genome shotgun sequence.
CUGUUGCAUUUUCCAUAGGUUUAUUUGCUACCUUUACUUAUUUUCAUUUGUAGUAUUUUUUGCUUAUUUUUAAAUGCAUAAAAUGGUGGUGUUUAGUCCGUAGGCGUAAUUGAAUUACGAAUCGGGCAUAUCUUUAGCGCCGGCGCUAAAGAUAUCUUUGGAAGAUUUACCGGCCAGAGUCC